GGGUUAGUAGGUUGGUCAUGCCCCUGGUAUGUACUGGUCUCACUGAUUCCUCCUUCCUGAUGAGCCGUAAUGCCAUUAAUUUGGUGUCGCGGGGAAUUUGGACUGUUACUUUGAAAAAAUUAGAGUGUUUAAAGCAAGCUAACGCUUGAAUACAUUAGCAUGGAAUAAUAAAAUAGGACCUUGGUUCUAUUUUGUUGGUUUCUAGGAUUGACGUA
rnacentral:rRNA from 1 species